AACGCGAAGAACCUUACCUGGGCUCGAACGGCUUAAGAUCGACUGUAGAAAUAUGGUUUUCCCGCAAGGGACUUGAGUCGAGGUGCUGCAUGGCUGUCGUCAGCUCGUGUCGUGAGAUGUUGGGUUAAGUCCCGCAACGAGCGCAACCCUUGUCCUGUGUUGCCACUCCGCAAGGAAGCACUCUCAGGAGACCGCCAGCGAUAAGUUGGAGGAAGGUGGGGAUGAUGUCAAGUCCUCAUGGCCUUUAUGUCCAGGGCUACACACGUGCUACAAUGGCCGGUACAAACCGUCGCAAAGCCGCGAGGUGGAGCUAAUCGGAAAAAGCCGGCCUCAGUUCGGAUCGCAGUCUGCAACUCGACUGCGUGAAGCUGGAAUCGCUAGUAAUCGUGGAUCAGAAUGCCACGGUGAAUACGUUCCCGGGCCUUGUACACACCGCUAGUC
rnacentral:rRNA from 1 species